GUCUUUUGGCCCAUAUUGUUGUGCUACUGGAUUGUUCUUUUUGCACUUACAAUGAAGCGCCAAAUCAUGCAUAUGAUCAAGUACAAAUAUAUCCCAUUCAAUCUUGGAAAGCAGGUGAGCUUAAGAAUGUUUCAGCUUAUCUUAGAUAUGACGUUGUUCCUAAAAAUGGAGUGUGGUAGUAGUUGAGUCAGCUUGUCUUGUUAAUCUGUUGUUGUUUCUUAUUGGUUACAAUUUUUCUUAUUCUAUAAUAGAAAUACGGUGGGAAAAAAGUAUCUGCCAGUACCGGUAGCAGCCCCCGAGCAGACUGAAGUUCUGCUGGUAAUAUCGCAAAUGAAGUGAAUCCGAAGGAACUUGAAGGAUGAGGUGGGGAGAGGAACACGGAAAAAGAGAUGGAAAGUCGGUUGCAACGUUAAAGAUUCGUCGUUAACGAGUUGUAUUUACAUUAAAACGAACCUGAAUACGGAGUUAAAAACCCUUUUGAAUUGUACACCAUUGUUUUGAUUGUGGCAGCUAGACUGUAUGCACUAGGCAGGAAAAUAGUUAAACAUUGUUCUUGAAAUAUGCUUCAUGGAAGAUUGAAAUUGUCUCUGUUUUCAGCUUUCAAUAUAUUAUCAAAUAAAAUAAUGCAUAUUAAAAC
rnacentral:lncRNA from 1 species